GUGCAGGCCGCAGCCCCGCUGUCUGUCCCUACGGGGACCGUGGCCCUUGCCGUGGGGGCCCCGCUCCUGUGUUCAGCGUCCUCUCCUGCACGGAUCUCCCGAUGAAACCCUGGGCCAAAGCCACCAGCGGCUGCCCCGCCGCCAUCCGUCGGACUCUCGUCUUCCUGUUCCCUCCACCUGGCUUUGAGAAGACAAAGGAACAAAUUACUUCUUAGGAAGAAUGCUAGUGCUCCCUUCUGGGUGCUGGCAGCAGCCUACUAAAGAGGUCUCCAGUAGCCCCCCAUUAUCCACCAGUUUAGUCGCCUGUGGUCAA
rnacentral:lncRNA from 1 species